rnacentral:misc_RNA from 1 species
UGUUUUUGUUUUCGUUCUACGUUCAGGUGUUGAGUGGCGACGUAUUAACCGUCGAUAACCAGCUGAAGCAGCUCAAGUUCUCGAGUGGAACGAGGUUGACCGUGCGCAGUGGCAGCCGUUCACAACAAAAACAAUGUAUGCACUCAGUUUCGCCGGAUGAGUGCCGGCGUCGAUCGCGAACCGCCAGAGCCGCCAAAUACCUCUCGUACAUCUCCAAGAACACCAAGAACAGGAGGUAUUCAUAAAGGUCUGAACCACGCGAGGAUCGUCUCGAAGCAUGGUAGCCUCAACAGACGCUUGCCGCCACACGCGAGGAGAAAGCAGGAGGCCCGAAGUUUGAAUGUGAAGAGGAGGUGCGAAGAGCUGGCCCUCACUUUUUCAAGGCAGCCGCAGAACACUACGAGCCCCGAAUCACUGCCGCGGCUGACUCACGCGGAUGCUGUGCUGCACCCUGCACUGCACAUGGUUCGAAGCACACUUCAGGGGACCAGUGCAUGCCCCUGAUGCAUCGUCGCGCAGCGGAACACUACGGGCAGGCCCGGAGUCACCGCACCGGCUGGCUCACGGGCGUCGUCCUGUACUCUGCACGGCACUGCGUGUGGCUUAACCGGCCAAGCAGAGGGUCACUGCAUGACCUUUAUGAGGCGUCGCUAGCCAUUGUAAGUAUAUUUUGGACGCUCGUGUCAGGGGAUGUACUUUUGUGUUCUACAACAGAACGUGUUUGGUGGCGGUUCAGUCUUGCCAAUUCAGCCAUUUCGAAACAUAAUUUUGUGGCGACUUGGCUUAGGUUUUCUGGCUCGGCCGUCUUUUGCACCAGUGUCUAGGCUCGGCGUAAGCCUCUUUGUUCUUUAUUGUCAAGGCUAGUGUAAUUUCUGCUACGCCGUCGAAGCAACUUCUGCAUGCGAACAAGAUGCAAGACGAAGCUACAUGCUCGUGCACAGUGCAUGACCACAUGUGAAAACUAAUAGAGAGUUUGUUUCGCUGCAAUCGUGCCCAUGCGCACCCACUCGCAACAUGAAGUGAGUUUGUUUCGCCGCCGGCACUCCACACGUGCAUGCGCUCGCUGCGCCCUGAGAAUUAAGUGUGUACCUGAAUGCACUCCCGUCAUGCAUCACUUAGGCAGGGAACAAGAGCAGAUGACUGGUUUGUCCACCAUGCGGGACAGUAGAACUGCAGAAAAAGUGAACUUUCUGCUAAAAAAAUGACGUCCCACGAGCAACAAAAUCGGACACGAGCUUGAAUUGUGUGUCUGCUAUUCUAUAAAGCAAGCAAUCCACAACCUGUGCUUAACUUGCAAGUUUUCAGUCAUUUUGUUGCCGUACAGACUUCCAAAUACACCGGUGGAUAAAGAAAGGUUCACAACGAACAUCAGCCACUGCGAGAUAUCUCUCACCAUGUGUGCGGGGCUAAAGAGUUGGGACGUUAGUUGACAAAGCUUGCCCGGCAGAAACCUGCGACGCGUCCAAUCGGGAGCCGAGAAAGCUAAACUGUUUUAACCCGAGGCUUGGAUAAAAUCACAGUGUUUAAAAAGGAGCCAUGGAAUUUAUUUUGGGUGGGAUAAAUUAAUUUAGAUUCAUAUUUUGCUAAUACAGUUGAACCUUUCAAGAACGAAAUUCUCGCGGCAACGAAGAAAUCUGGCGGCCCCAGCGAACGUCCAUAGGGUUCAAUGCAUUUGCACCCUCUCAACAGCAAAGAGUUUUAAAAAGCAGUCCCGCAUUAACGAAAGUUUGAGGUAGUGAUCUGCCAUAGAGUUAUUCAAUGUGUCUACCAAGUUGGCAUUUUCAAAUUCCCUGAGUUUUUCAGGUUUCCUCUGAGUACUUUUGUGAAAUUCCCUGAGUGACACAGAACUUUGUUUUAGGUCAAGAUGGGCGGACACCAUGUCGCCACAUGCUGUCACUCUCUAAAAAGCAUGUCAUAAAAUAAAAUAACAACACAAUACAGUUUUGAUGAUAGCGAGUAACUUUUAUUAUAUUUAAAAAGAAAACAGAACGAAGUGGUUAGUAAAAUUGAUAGCGAAUAAAGUAUAAAAAAAGGUAAACUGAGGUUUACGUGACCCCCCCAGGUCUGGUCAUGUGACCUCGGGGGGGGGGGGGGGUGUCGAGACCUGACGGCGACGCCGCUCAAGCCGGAAACGGGAGCAAUAACAGGGAAAGGAAAGGGUAAACAAACAUAAGGCGUUCAAAGUGCGAUUGCUCAACCCUUGUUGUCAAAACACUCCACCUAACAAAAUCCUAAGGAGUCGCACAGUGACAGCGGUGUUUGCACGCGACCGUUCCAACAGCGGGCACUCCCUGCCCUCCCCACGCGCGCAGGUGCCCUUCCCCUUGCUUUUGCCAUCCUCCACUUCUUUUGUUUUUAUUGGUUGCUUUUUUUAUUUUUUAUACAAUUGCUUUUUCGCUGCGCAUCCCCGCGUGCGCGUAUGGUGGGUUGGCGGUCUGCCAGCCUUGCAACCCGAGCUGUGUGCUCCCUGCCGGCGCAAUCCAACCUAUAGGGAGAAGCGAAGAACGGCCUUCGUUCGCUACAUCGAGUGUCCCCUCCAUGGGAGUUAUGGGCAUUCGAUACAGAAAAACAAUGCAAUUUUCUAGGGGAUGUUUGGACUGUUUCAUAUAAACAAUAAUUCGAAAUACGGGUGUGAUAUAACCGGGUUCGACAGUAUGUUUGGCCGUCUCCCUUAAUUUCCAGAUACCUUCGUUCGUUUGGCACGUAUAUCCCCGAUGCUAGAAAGCGCCGACGUUGUGUUCGCGCUGAGAGUGUCCGACAGUGCACAUAAAUACAUGUGCGAAGCCGUUUUGGCACCGUUUUUUUUUCCCCCAUAGAAAUGCAUUACCGGAAGUCAAUUUUCGACUGGUUGCUGUCUGCUUCAACUUGCGUCGGCACACUAGCACCACUUGAACCUCUAGCGUACAUUACAAUAACCCUACGCGAUCUGCAACAUUUUUUUGUCAAAUGAGCCAGUUUGGAACCCAGAAUUGUGAAAAAUGGAGCAGUACACUCGUCCGACAAGUUGGGCACAUACGUUUCCGACAAGCAUCGGCGCGGCCAUUGCUGUUUACAUUCGGUCAAAUAAUGAUGACAAUGGCAACUAGAUGCUUUUUUUGGGGGGUUGGUGAAAACAGCGUUUUGCUAGCCCAUCUGUUGGCAACUACCUAGGUACGUGACGACACCGCCUGCUGCUAUUUCGCUGUCCGCCGCGUGCACGCCGAGAUCGCUCACGCCUUGUUUACUACCUUUCGUUUGGCCUGUCGGAAAGAUGCCGCCUCCCAUUAAAAAGUUUAAGUUUUUUGCACUUCAGGAGAACUCUGCGAUCACUGCCAAAGCCAGAAAGAAGUCUGAUAUUACAGAGGAGUUCAGUAUCCUUUGCUUCUCGCUUUCUACGAUUCUGAAAUCCAAGGACAGCAUCAUGAAAAGUAAUAGGUGUGCUUAGUUGUCCAUUUCUGCAGCAGCGAAAUUCUUGCGAGAACGAAAAACGUUUCCUUCCCCCGCGGUUUGGUUAUUACGGGUGUGAUGAUGUGACUUAAUUUGGAAAAGAAGUGCAAGUCAACCCAUGGAUCGGCCUGGAGGGAGAAACGAAGAAGAGAGAUUUUGGAGUGCGUGCUCAGAGGGCGUGAAAAGGACUGGCCGGGAGAUUGUGCAGAGAGCGGAACGACACGAUCGGCCAGGGCAAUCGGCGGCCUCCUACUGUCUGACCAGCAGCCUGUUCCAGCGAGGGCAGCGAAUAGAAACCUACGCUGCCCCCGGCUUCCUACAGCGGGAGCGCUUGGUGCGGUAGCUCUGGGGCCGCCGACGGAAGCCAACCGCUCCCGCUCCUGACUUCCAGCCACAACCGUGGGCCGACAACGACAGCACAAGACACACUGCUGCACAGGGACUCAAAGACAUGCCCAAGAGAGGAGAGUGGGUGCUCAAGCAUAGGUCAACAUGCCUCAGUGCAUCAUGCUCUAGUCUUUAGCAUCUUCCAGACUUGCUUAUGUUAAUCGAAUGGAUUCACUAAACGGUGCUCCUUUGCAACUGAUUGUUGUAGGCUGCACCUACAACAAGCAGUUGUAAGUGCAGUACAUUCUAUUAGCAUAAAAUAAAGGCACACAGCCAAAUCACCUCAAUGAUGCCUAGCAAGUGGCGAAAUAAACUUCCCUUUAACAAAGCAUGUGUAGCUACCGAGACAUCACAUUAUUCAGAGUGCAGAUGCAGAGUAGCUUUCUUUUGGCCUUUGCAUCAUCUUCCAUUGUCCAGGCACAAGCGGCACUGCCGAAAAAGACCAAUAAAUAAAUAUUCAACA